UACGGAGGGGACUAGCGUUGUUCGGAAUUACUGGGCGUAAAGCGCACGUAGGCGGAUUUGUAAGUCAGGGGUGAAAGUCCCGGGGCUCAACCUCGGAACUGCCUUUGAUACUGCAAAUCUCGAGUCCGGAAGAGGUGAGUGGAAUUCCUAGUGUAGAGGUGAAAUUCGUAGAUAUUAGGAGGAACACCAAUAGCGAAGGCAGCUCGCUGGGACGUUACUGACACUGAGGCGCGAAAGCGUGGGGGAGCGAACAGG
rnacentral:rRNA from 1 species